UACAGAGGUCUCAAGCGUUGUUCGGAUUCAUUGGGCGUAAAGGGUGCGUAGGUGGCGCUGUAAGUCGGGUGUGAAAUUUCGGAGCUUAACUCCGAAACUGCAUUCGAUACUGCGGUGCUUGAGGACUGGAGAGGAGACUGGAAUUCAUGGUGUAGCAGUGAAAUGCGUAGAGAUCAUGAGGAACACCAGUGGCGAAGGCGGCUCACUGGCCCGUAACUGACGCUGAGGUGCGAAAGCGUGGGGAGCAAACAGG
rnacentral:rRNA from 1 species